rnacentral:rRNA from 1 species
UCAAGUGUCUUAAGGGCAUUUGGUGGAUGCCUUGGCAUGCACAGGCGAUGAAGGACGUGAUACGCUGCGAUAAGCGUCGGGGAGGUGCGAAUACCCUUUGAUCCGACGAUUUCCGAAUGGGGCAACCCACCUUAGAUGACUAGAAAAUCUGUUUUGUUGGAGCAACGCUGGAUGGGUUUACACCCAUACAGACCGCUAGGUCGUCGGCCCAUGUGGGCCGCCCCCGCGGAGCGCCAGCAUUCCUCUGGAAUGCGUACGGCGCGUGAGCGAGAACAGCACAGCUUUCUAGUCAUCAUAAAUAAGGUAUCUAACCUUGAAUACAUAGGGGUUAGAAGCGAACCUGGGGAACUGAAACAUCUAAGUACCCAGAGGAAAGGACAUCAAACGAGACUCCGCUAGUAGUGGCGAGCGAACGCGGACCAGGCCAGUGGCUUUUGUGAAUAAAGUGGAACGAGUUGGAAAACUCGACCGAAGUGGGUGAUAGUCCCGUACACGUAGAAUAGCAGAAGUCCUUGAGUAGGGCGGGACACGUGAAAUCCUGUCUGAACAUGGGUCGACCACGAUCCAAGCCUAAGUACUCGUGCAUGACCGAUAGCGAACCAGUACCGUGAGGGAAAGGUGAAAAGCACCCCGACGAGGGGAGUGAAACAGUACCUGAAACCGGAUGCCUACAAACAGUUGGAGCCCAAGGUUUGUCCUGGGUGACAGCGUACCUUUUGUAUAAUGGGUCAGCGACUUAGUGUAUCGAGCAAGCUUAAGCCGGUAGGUGUAGGCGCAGCGAAAGCGAGUCUGAACAGGGCGUUCAGUUCGAUGCAUUAGACCCGAAACCAAGUGAUCUAGCCAUGAGCAGGUUGAAGGUACGGUAACACGUACUGGAGGACCGAACCCAUAUCUGUUGCAAUAGAUCGGGAUGACUUGUGGCUAGGGGUGAAAGGCCAAUCAAACUUGGAGAUAGCUGGUUCUCCGCGAAAUCUAUUUAGGUAGAGCGUCGACCGAAUACCCCCGGGGGUAGAGCACUGGAUGGGCUAUGGGGACUCACCGUCUUACUGAUCCUAACCAAACUCCGAAUACCGGGGAGUACUAGUCGGCAGACACACGGCGGGUGCUAACGUCCGUCGUGGAGAGGGCAACAACCCUGACCACCAUCUAAGGUCCCUAAGUUAUGGCUAAGUGGGAAAGGAUGUGAGGAUCCCAAAACAACCAGGAUGUUGGCUUAGAAGCAGCCAUCAUUUAAAGAAAGCGUAACAGCUCACUGGUCUAAAUAAGGGUCUUUGCGCCGAAAAUGUACCGGGGCUCAAGCCAUACACCGAAGCUGUGGAUGCACGUAUGUGCGUGGUAGCGGAGCGUUCCGUAAGCCUGUGAAGGGACAGUCGUGAGACAUCCUGGAGGUAUCGGAAGUGAGAAUGCUGACAUGAGUAACGAUAAAGGGAGUGAGAGACUCCCUCGCCGAAAGUCCAAGGGUUCCUGCUUAAAGUUAAUCUGAGCAGGGUUAGCCGGCCCCUAAGGCGAGGCCGAAAGGCGUAGUCGAUGGGAACCACGUUAAUAUUCGUGGGCCUGCAGGUGGUGACGGAUCGCGUGUGUUGUGAGGUCUUAUUGGAUUGAUCUUGCAGCGAAGCGGUUCCAGGAAAUAGCUCCUGCAUAUAGACCGUACCCUAAACCGACACUGGUGGACUGGUAGAGAAUACCAAGGCGCUUGAGAGAACUGCGUUGAAGGAACUCGGCAAAAUGCACGCGUAACUUCGGAAGAAGCGUGACCUCACUAUGGGCAACCAUAGGGGGGUGGCACAGACCAGGGGGUAGCGACUGUUUACCAAAAACACAGGGCUCUGCGAAGUCGCAAGACGACGUAUAGGGUCUGACGCCUGCCCGGUGCUGGAAGGUUAAGAGGAGAGGUGCAAGCCUUGAAUUGAAGCCCCAGUAAACGGCGGCCGUAACUAUAACGGUCCUAAGGUAGCGAAAUUCCUUGUCGGGUAAGUUCCGACCUGCACGAAUGGCGUAACGACUUCCCCGCUGUCUCCAACGCAGACUCAGUGAAAUUGAAUUCCCCGUGAAGAUGCGGGGUUCCUGCGGUUAGACGGAAAGACCCCGUGCACCUUUACUAUAGCUUUACACUGGCAUUCGUGACGACAUGUGUAGGAUAGGUGGUAGACUUUGAAGCAGGGGCGCCAGCCUUUGUGGAGUCACCCUUGAAAUACCACCCUUGUUUUUAUGGAUGUCUAACUGCGGCCCGUUAUCCGGGUCCAGGACCGUGUAUGGUGGGUAGUUUGACUGGGGCGGUCGCCUCCUAAAGAGUAACGGAGGCGCGCGAUGGUAGGCUCAGAACGGUCGGAAAUCGUUCGUCGAGUGCAAUGGCAUAAGCCUGCCUGACUGCAAGACUGACAAGUCGAGCAGAGACGAAAGUCGGUCAUAGUGAUCCGGUGGUCCCGCGUGGAAGGGCCAUCGCUCAACGGAUAAAAGGUACGCCGGGGAUAACAGGCUGAUGACCCCCAAGAGUCCAUAUCGACGGGGUUGUUUGGCACCUCGAUGUCGACUCAUCGCAUCCUGGGGCUGGAGCAGGUCCCAAGGGUAUGGCUGUUCGCCAUUUAAAGCGGUACGUGAGUUGGGUUCAGAACGUCGUGAGACAGUUCGGUCCCUAUCUGCCGUGGGUGUAGGAAUAUUGACAGGAUCUGUCCCUAGUACGAGAGGACCGGGAUGGACGUAUCUCUGGUGGACCUGUUGUGGCGCCAGCCGCAUAGCAGGGUAGCUAUAUACGGACG